rnacentral:lncRNA from 1 species
AUGAUGAGGACAGGAAGAAGGGGUGCAUAUAUACACUAACACAGUGGUUUCCUUAAAGCCUUGUGUCUAGUCCGGUGCAUGUAUGCAGCCGAGCUCCC